CAGUCGCGUUCUCUGGGAUUCAGCCUUGCUUUUGCUUGGUGCAUUUCCUAGUCUACGGGCCAGCAUGGAUUUCGACCGUCGGAAAAGGGCUGGGGGAAUGUGGCACUUUCGGGUGUGUUAUAGCCCCCUGUCGCACACGUCGGUUGGGAUCAAGGACCUCAGUGCACGCUUCGGUUGUGCUUUGAUGCUGGCUAAUGGCUUAAACGCCGUUUGAAACACGGACCAAGGAGUCUAACAUAUGUGCGAGUGUU
rnacentral:rRNA from 1 species